UACGUAGGGGGCAAGCGUUGUCCGGAAUCAUUGGGCGUAAAGAGCGUGUAGGCGGCUUGGCAAGUCUGGUGUGAAAUCUUGCGGCUCAACCGCAAGCGGUCACUGGAAACUGCCUCGCUAGAGUCCGGAAGAGGAGAGCGGAAUUCCUGGUGUAGCGGUGGAAUGCGCAGAUAUCAGGAGGAACACCGGUGGCGAAGGCGGUUCUCUGGGCAUGUCCUGACGCUGAGGAGCGAAAGUGUGGGGAGCGAACAGG
rnacentral:rRNA from 1 species